rnacentral:lncRNA from 1 species
GCAUAUAAGAAUAUUUACACGCGUUCUCAUGAAGAAGCAUGGUGUCAUAGAGAUAAGGUUAACUUUAAGGAGCCACAUUAUACUUUGGUGUAUGUGUGUGUGUGAAAGAGAGAGGAAGAGACUCUUCAAAGAUUGAUCAGGAGAACAUUUUGACAUGGUGAAACGUAUACAGAUGAAAAGAAGGAAGUAACGAAGGAAGGAAAGGAGGAAGGGAAAGGGAAUUGUGAUGCCCUAGGCACACCUCCUGCUCCUUCUAAUCCCUCAGGAUGAUGUCAGUAUUUGCCUACUUGACCUCUCUGUCUUUCCCACCCUCUAAGGUGUGUGGCUUCCCACAAAAAAAUGGAUUUUAGAACCUUCAGAUGCAUCCAGGCAAUGCACCAAUGAGGGCUCAGCCUGAGAAACGAGAAAAGAGAAAAAGCUGAGAGAACCAGGCGGAAUGGAUCUAUAUGGUUUGUGUGGGAGUGGUGUGAAGCUCCUGAAUUGCCAGAUGGAAACCCCUCUGCAGUGUGGAGAGGACAGAGAACCUGAACCCAAGACUUUUGUUUCUGAGGCUGAGAAGACAUAUCCUUGAAACUUUCCAGAGCCCCACAUCCUCAGCGGUUGCUUGAUCAGUGAAUUGUCAGGGCAACCUCUCAUCUACCAGUCCUCUAAUUUCAGAUCUCAUAAGAUGAUUUCAAAAGAACAGAGUUGGGUAGUGAAGUGAGAUAAGAAAAAUCUGUCUAUCCAUGAUUGGUAAAGUUAGCAGGGAGAGAAAGGCAGAAGUACUGACUGAUGGCAACUCUGAGUGCCAAGAUAAAAUACCCAUGUUGGUGCCCUAAAGAUUGGGUGGUAAUUUAAUGCAAAACAAAAUUUACAUAGAUAUCUUACUGUGACACUCAGAUCCUUCAGUACUGAGUGUCCAGCUCACUGUCUAUCCCUGCAUCUCCUCUACACUCACCAUAUAUUGCAACUGGACUCUACUGCUGGAGGAUGGCAUCAUGCCUUCCUGGUGCGGCAGCGGUUUAAAGUACCUUCUGCUGCCAUAGUCCACUUAACCACCUCCUGGCUUUAGAUUCCUGAGGCUUGUGUGUCUAUUCCAAUCCAUUGAGGGCUGCCAAAACACCAACGAUCUUAUACUGAACUCUUCAGGGCUCUUUUGAGACCCUUCUCACUAGACUUGGUGUAAUGAGGUUCUGUACUUGGAUUCCUUCCCCUGUGAACUCAGAGCACAGCUUUUGCCAAAGAAAUCCUUCUCAC